rnacentral:rRNA from 1 species
UACGAAGGGGGGCUAGCGUUGUUCGGAAUUACUGGGCGUAAAGCGCACGUAGGCGGACUGUUAAGUCAGGGGGUGAAAUCCUGGAGCUCAACUCCAGAACUGCCUUUGAUACUGAUGGUCUCGAGUCCGGAAGAGGUGAGUGGAAUUCCGAGUGUAGAGGUGAAAUUCGUAGAUAUUCGGAGGAACACCAGUGGCGAAGGCGGCUCACUGGUCCGGUACUGACGCUGAGGUGCGAAAGCGUGGGGAGCAAACAGG